CGCUGAUAGAUCCCGCCAUACGGUCCGCUUUUCACUCUCAGUUCCCAACGAAACCGGCCCCCCGGCCACGGGGCAGACCCUGCAAGCGGCAUCGGCCUCCAGGACGUGGCCGUCAGGGGGGGGGUACUGUCACGCCCCUCCCGAGUAGGCGGGGCUCUCCAGGUGCUCCGUAUUCUCCCCUAAGGAGAAUCAUAGAAAAGCAAAGAGCAUGCACAUCUCCGUGCGAAGUAUUGUGCCAUGGUUAUGUGCCUUACCGAGCGCUUACUUGUCUUCCGUCUUCCCAGUAUUCCCUACCUGCUCCGUGUUCCUGUUGUACUUACCUUGCCUUGUCUUCUCCCUUUCCCCAGACUCGUUCUCGUACCUGACCCGCUUCACCUGCUGAGACCGGCUCCUCCUGUUCCCCUUCCCCUGUGUGUUCGUGUCCCUCGUGAUCGUGUAGGACUGACCUUCCGGCUAUUGACCCCUGCUUUCGGCUUUCGACCAUUCUUUGCUCUUAACCCCUUGGAUACCUCAACAACCACAGAUCCAAUAAACCUUCCUGCUGUGUGCAUAUCUGGAUCCCCGCAGUUUUAUUCUGCUGUCCGUCACAGAAAAUGGUACCGGUUUGAAGGAAGAAGACAGUGACCUCCACCCCGAUCGUGACAUUGUGACCUCAAACAUUCUAUAUUACAUGUAUUGGGUUGUUGAUGUCAUAUCAGGUAAUGCCUGAUGUUCAAGAUGCUGUGUAUUUCUUGAUGUCAAUUUUACUUGGUACCUCGGAACUUUGUACAUGUAAAAAGUUAGAUUUUAUGGGGAUUUUAAUAUUUCAUAUCCCUUGUAAAAUUAAUUUUAAGACAAUAUAAUUUAAUUAGGAAAAUUUGAGUAUGUGUGUCUUUUUUUGUUCCCUUUUUAGAGAAUUUUGAUCAUUUUCUUCUUCAUUAUAUUUAGCUUACUGAGAGUUAGCACAACGUGCAUUUUACGUUAGCUGCAGUCGUUGAGUUGACGUAACCCAGACAUUGAAAGUAGGUUGGCACAUGGUCUCCAUAAUGUCCGUGGGACGUUGGUUUUAUGUUGGCCACAGGGAAUGGCACACAUUUGCUUAUCACUACUUGGUUUACUGCACGUUGGGACAACGUGCAUUUGACGUUCGCUGCAGACGUUGAGUUGACGUAAACCCGAUGUGCAGAUGCACGUCCGACCAACGUCUGCUAAUGACGUUGGGCCGACGUUAUGUCCGAUGUUCUACCAACGUUGGGCCAACGUUAAAUGUUAACUGGGAAGCUGUCAUGGUUGUGGUAUACUGUACAUUCUGGACGUUGGCUGCACGUCUGGACAACGUCCGGGACUGACCAUGAGUUAGUCAAUACCCGACGUUGUCAGGACAUGAAGCCAACGAAGAAAAGGGAUUGUUAUGGAAUCCUUUAAACAUUUUCUGUGGAGGUAUAGGUUGUACAGUUCAUCUUGAUCUGAAAAGAAAUCAGUAUAAAUUCGAUCUUGGACAUAGAGAAAGGUCUAUGACAGACAUCUGCCAGACGUUACGCCGACGAAAAAUGUGGACGACAUCAAGUGUAUUUCAUCGAUUCAGAAAGAAAGGAAAUUAGCCUAUUAAAAGGCAGUUAGUGUAUCUAACAAACAAUAAUAUCCAAAAAUCUUAUUUUCAUUAUGUAUACCAUUAUGUUGGCCAGACGUGAUUUCGACGUCCGCUUUUGACCAUCGACAUAACGACCAACAGCCGACGUCGGCCCAACGAACCAAUGCUAGCUGGGAACGUAUCUGGCUGCAUUCUGUAACUGUAUCUGUUUUAUAUUGAUGGGGAAACAGGCAAGUGGCCAAUGAAAAUCGCUGAAAUUAUACUUAUAACAUAGAUAAACUAUACUUCAUCCACCAAUAGCGUUCGCUGUCAGGAAUGGCGUGACUCCGCCCCCAAACUGUCAAACCCCCGCCCCGGCAAAACGCGAGCGCUGACAUUUCCCUCGAGCGCAUGCAAAUAUCGGCCAAAGGAAAUGCGCUUUGCGCACGAGCGCAACCAUGACGUUGGAAGGAGAAAAUACAUUAGAGAAGGAGAAAUUAUGAUGAACGCGCACGCAGCUCUUCGUCCUGCGCUCGUGAGUUUCACUUUUGCGCUCGCGAGUGGCAUAUUUACGCGUGUGAGUUUUGACUUUGAUGUGACGCCAUAACAAGUCCACACAGUCGUUAAAUAGGUAGUUAAGUGAGACAUGUCUGUACAGUUACAUGAUUUUUCUGAUUUUGCCUCUGUACACCAUCACAAUUCUAAAUGAAGCAAUGAAGAUUUGACUGAAGUGUGGACUUUCAGUUUCAGUUCAUGUGGUUUAACAAAAACAUUGCAUUAACCAUUUAGGAAUUACAGCCAUUUUUUUACAUAAGUCCCUCCAUUUUCACGAGAUGAAAGACUGUCAAAUGCUUAAUAUCACAUUCAUUGUGGUGAAGUACAGAGGGAAAAUUAUGAAAAUUGUCACUCCAAAUGCUUAUAGACCUAACUGCACGCUGUACAUUAUACCUUUAUUGUUUAUUGAUGGUAUGGAUUUGAACCCCAAAUAAUGACCUCAAGAUACAUCAGUGUUUCCCAUGGACUUUUUCCACAUAUACAUUUCAGAAAUUGUCCGGAGUUGACCAUUCACAUGUAGCACACAACGGAAAAGUGUCAGUCUGAGGGGGAAAAAAAUGCUUGUUUCUGAAUACAUUUUCAAGGCUUUUACACUUGUUACCCAAAAACGCAUGAUCAGUGGUGUUGCAUGGUAUACCAGUACCAGAAAUGUAUCCUGGUACCCUUCCCUAUAUUUAAUUGUAUUAGGACCAGUACUGAAGUCCCACAUUCUAACAUCAAUUAUUCCAUUACUUUUCCUCAUAUUUUAGCUUUCUUUUCCUGUGGCAUCAUCGGUAUUGAGCUAUUUAGGUCAGUAGAUGACCAAACUGAAAGAUAACCACGGAUGAUUUCAAUAUUUGGAGUGGUUUUCUGAAGUGGCCAAGUAAUGUUUCUCUUCCUGUCAUAUGGGUGUGUUAUUUGUUUAAGGUAAUCAACAAUUCAAGAUUGCUGUUCAAGUUUUUAAAGACCACACGUAUCAAGCCGAACUCACAGGUGGCCCCGUAACUGGCCGUGUCGUUUCAGUAGCAUAGAAUUAAAGAGAUAUGUUGAAUGUCCACCUGUCACUGUGAUUUAGGAGGUAGUAAUUGUGCAGCUUCACUACUCACAGUUUGGUGGAAUAACUCCAACUCCACGUAACAGACAUACAUUUGAGGUGUGGAUCGAUUCUGACCGUGUGUGGACUAAUCCUGAAAUUCAGAUACAGAACCCAUAUCGUCCGUGAUUCACUCAUAAUAUUGUUGUGUCAAAGUUGAAUUGUAUAACUUGUUUCUCAUGAGAAGAAUCAGCUUCUCUUGUCCUGGGAUACUUAUUCUGUUCAAGGACACUUGUCUUGUUAUUUCUGAUUAAUGAGAUGCUAACCCCAUUCAAGAAUGGUUACUUUGUUUUUUUUAAGGGUUUUCCUGGGAAGAAAGAGUGAUCCAACAUGUGUUUUAUACAUUAUCGAUUAGUGUGUGGGCCCCUUAUUUUGUUCUCAUGAGAAAGGGGGAAAUUGAUCAAGGAUACUUGUCUAAUUACUUUUGAUUGAAGCCAUAUCUAGCAGUUGGUGUGUGGGAUUCUGAUCUUAUCUGGAGAAAAGGGGAACGUGUUUUUGUAUUUUUUAUUUUAACAGCUAGCCGCAUUACCCAGACAAGAUUGGAAAUUUGAGAAUGCCUUGUCUGGGGGGAGGGGUGAGCCUGGCCAGCUCGUCCCCUGCCCACAUGUAAUGCCCAAAAUUUAGUAUAAAGGAAGGGGGAGAUCUGUGUGGUUGGAUCUCAGCCGUAGGAUAGAGCACCGCAUCGCCCGGCACUUUCUCGGGACUCAUGUUGAUCUCCUGCCAGGACUGAAAAGGGCUCCCCAGUGUAAGAGUGAGGGUGGGUGAUGAUGGCACGUCCGAGUGUGAAUAGCUUUGCAAUAUCUGUGUACUCAUGUAAUCAUUAUUGGGAUUAUCGAUUUAUAAGUAUCACAAUAAUAUUAAUUGGUACUAUGCAUGCAUGUUUUAUUGUCACAUAGUUGUAUUUGCAGUAUCAUUAUUGUUUAUGAUUUAUAAUACCAUUGGAUAUUACUUGUGAUA